AAACUGAUUUGGCCUUUGAAAUAAAAUUGAAAAAAAAAAAGGUUCUCUCAGGGUGAGGCUCAUCCCUUGUAUUCUAGGUGUGCUGACCACUGCUAUUUUCCCAAAUGCAAAAAAUUCAACUGCAUAAUUUGUGGUAGUGGGGGACUGCGUUCAUGCCUUCCUCUG
ensembl:snRNA U1 U1 spliceosomal RNA